UGCGGAGGGAUCAUUACUGAGUUAUCAGAACUCCAAACCCUUUGUGAACCUUACCGUCGUUGCCUCGGCGUGAGCUACGGCUACCCUGUAACUACCCUGGAGCUACCCUAGAGUUACCCUAUAGCUACCCUGCACUUACCCUGCAGCUACCCUAUAGCUACCCUGGAGCUACCCUGGAGCUACCCUGUAGUCGGCUUCGGCCCGCCGAAGGACCGUUAAACUCUUGUUUUUACCACUGUUUCUCUGAAUUCUAAACUAAAAUAAGUUAAAACUUUCAACAACGGAUCUCUUGGUUCUGGCAUCGAUGAAGAACGCAGCGAAAUGCGAUAAGUAAUGUGAAUUGCAGAAUUCAGUGAAUCAUCGAAUCUUUGAACGCACAUUGCGCCCACUAGUAUUCUAGUGGGCAUGCCUAUUCGAGCGUCAUUUCGACCCCUAAGCCCCUGUUGCUUAGCGUUGGGAAUCUACGGCGUAGUUCCUCAAAGUUAGUGGCGGAGUUAGGGUACACUCUCAGCGUAGUAAUUUCUCUCGCUCGUGUGGUGGCCCUGGCUGCUAGCCGUUAAAAC
rnacentral:rRNA from 1 species